UAUGUUUGGUUUCGCGAUGAUAAUUAAAAAUAAUAGUCCGGUAAGUGCAUGUAAGUACAUCAAUGCGAAGAAUACAGGCAAUUUUGAUCCUCACAAGUGGUGCCGGGUGUUCUGGAAGGAUAACACACACUGCGGCCACUAUCACGCUCAAGUGAUUAAGCUUUACGGCACCGAGGAUGAUGCAAGGAAUGCAACAGAAAAACGACCAUCCAUUCCGCAGACCCGAUUGCGACUCCUCCGAUAGCUGCAGUUCAAAUGAAGUGGACAAUGAGUCGUUUAAAAACAAAGAACCUUGUCCUUUGCGGGUGUUGCAGCACAAGCCUCAAAAACAGAAGCGACUUGCACCUUUGCCACCACUAUGUGCUGCUACGCUGGAACCACCACAGCGACCACGGACAGCCCUGAAGUAGCCCACUCAAGUGUGAGGGAGGCUGCACCGCUUAUCAAUUAUGUGCCCACUGACAGAGAGGUGCAUCGGAGCAAAGGAAUUGCCGUUCCCAAGAGGUUGUACAAUCACCCUAUGGGCUUGAAAAGACAGACCCAUUUUGUUCGUGAGGCGGCCGUUACCAUUUUUCAUACAGCAGGCCAAGUCGGUAGAAGUGUUACUGGUGCAGCCUCCAAUCGGUCUAAAGGGGAGGUGAAAUCUCCCUAGGAGAAAGAAACAUAUGCUGUAUUUUCAGAUUUCUUCAACCAUUUUUUUGAAGCACACCCUUCUGAUUGGAAAGGUUGAACAAAUGAAGAAGCUCCUCAAUAAAGCUUUGGCAAACAAAAUUAUUGACUUUAUGAAAUCAAAAGAUUAACCAAGGAAUGGCACAUCAAAUAAAAUAUUUUGUUUGAU
rnacentral:lncRNA from 1 species